CUCAGACUCCAUCUUGUUGUUCUGACUGGUGAGCAGACUCUAACAUGGCGCCUGAAGCUCUUUCACCUCCCAGCACUGCUUCAUCUGCAAGGCUGGUGUGUGACAGGGAGUUGGCUGGCUCCUCCCAGGAGCAGACGAGGCACACCUGUUUCCACUCACCUCUUCACCUGUAGAUAUAAAAGCCCGGUCCUCAUGCCACUUCCCUGCCAGAUAAUUCCUCUGUGUUUCGACCCUCCGGUGUGUCUCGCUGCCUCCUGUCCCUGACGACUCAGUGCCAGCCAACUUCCUGACUCCACUGCCGUCUUUUUCUGUUCUUCUGCUUGAAUAAAGCUUUUUGUUUUUUAC